GCCGAUAGUUCUAUCUAUCCCGGUGAGUGAGGAGACCUGCUUUGGGGGUUGCACAGUCUGGGUCUGCCCUUGCAGUGGUAUCUGUCUCUGUGAAGACUCCACCACGGGUCGCCAUCAGGUCAGAGACCCUGACAAGGUAAGAAUUUGCAUUUUCCUCUGCACACAACCCUGUUCCCUUCCCCUCCGCAUGCCUAACACAACACUCCCUUCCCCCCCAUGCCUAACAGAGAGAAAGGAGAGAGACAGUUCUUGAGCCCGGUUCUUCCUGCUUGAGCUUGGUGUGUCAACCAAAAGAGUCAAACUCUGUAAAAUAUUUGAAGGGAUUUAUUUUGAGCCUACUAUGCAUGACCAAUGGCCCAUGACAGCCUUCAGCAGAUCCUGAGAACAUGUGCCCAAGGUGAUCAGGCCACAACUUGGUUUUAUGUGUUUCAGGGAGACAUCGGACAUCAAUAAUAUAUGCGACAUGUACAGUGGUUUGAUCUGGAAAGGCUGGACAACUGGAAUGGGGUUGGGGAAGUGGACGACUUCCAGGUUAGACGCAAAAACCAAGGCCAAACAGCUGAGUUUUCUGCCCUGGAGGAGGAAAGUGGUCUCUGAAAGCCAGAAGACUCUCACAUUACAUAAUUCCUGCCAGCUGCUGUCAAGAGCUGCUAAGCUGUCCUCAAGUCCUGUGUCUGAUGUCAAGCUAAUAACAGAUUUAGGGUGCAUUAGUAAAGGUAUCUUAAUCAAGUCUAGAUGCCUUCGAGAUUAGACUCAGCCAUGAUGAGCAGCUAAGGAUUAGCAAGAAAGAUUACAAAUUGUUUCCAGGAAUUUAUUUCUUUCAAC
rnacentral:lncRNA from 10 species